GACGAACGCUGGCGGCGUGCUUAACACAUGCAAGUCGAACGAUGAACCCGGAGCUUGCUCUGGGGGAUUAGUGGCGAACGGGUGAGUAACACGUGAGUAACCUGCCCUGGACUCUGGGAUAAGCGUUGGAAACGACGUCUAAUACCGGAUAGGACCUUGGAUCGCAUGAUCUGGGGUGGAAAGUUUUUUCGGUCUGGGAUGGACUCGCGGCCUAUCAGCUUGUUGGUGAGGUAAUGGCUCACCAAGGCGUCGACGGGUAGCCGGCCUGAGAGGGUGACCGGCCACACUGGGACUGAGACACGGCCCAGACUCCUACGGGAGGCAGCAGUGGGGAAUAUUGCACAAUGGGCGAAAGCCUGAUGCAGCAACGCCGCGUGCGGGAUGACGGCCUUCGGGUUGUAAACCGCUUUUAGUAGGGAAGAAGGGCUUCGGCUUGACGGUACCUGCAGAAAAAGGACCGGCUAGCUACGU
rnacentral:rRNA from 1 species